CCCAGCAGCUGCCAGGGGGAGUGGAGUUUGUGCAGAAAAUCUCUAAGGAGAUACCUGGGUGCCUGCACUACUGCUGAAACCUCUCCUACUCCUCCAUCAGGAAUGAUUUUGAAAACAGGACAAAAGCAUUCAUUGGAAGAAACUGAUGGGAUGCCCAGGACUGGUGUUUAAAGUGGGAUUCUCCUCAGAAAAAAUGGGACAUAUGGUCACCUUAUAACAAAACACCUGUGAUGUAGCAGUUCUGCUCUAGCUCAUCUGAGACAGGCUCCAGCAUCCUGAAGGAAAGAGAAACGUACCGGCUGAGUCUGGCACCGAGG